rnacentral:lncRNA from 1 species
UUCUAGUCUCUAAAGAGUCCAGGUUUGCUCUUGGCUUCUUCAGUCCACGGAAUUCUACACUCCGAUAUAUUGGAGUUUGGUACAACACAAUUCGUGAACAAACCGUUGUAUGGGUUCUUAACAGAGACCAUCCUAUCAAUGAUACCUCCGGAGUCCUCUCCAUCAACACUUCUGGAAACCUCCUUCUGCACCGCGGAAACACUCAUGUAUGGUCCACAGACGUUUCCAUCUCAUCAGUGAACCCUACUGUGGCUCAGCUGUUAGAUACCGGAAACCUAGUCUUGAUCCAAAAAGAUGACAAGAUGGUUGUGUGGCAAGGCUUUGAUUAUCCCACAGAUAAUUUGAUUCCACACAUGAAACUCGGACUGAAUCGGAGAACCGGUUACAACAGGUUCCUAACCUCUUGGAAGUCCCCAACUGACCCAGCAACCGGGAAAUACUCGCUUGGAUUUAACGUCAGUGGGUCUCCUCAAAUAUUUUUGUACCAGGGUUCAGAGCCGCUAUGGAGAAGCGGUCACUGGAACGGGCUCCGGUGGAGCGGUCUGCCGGUGAUGAUGUACAGAUUCCAACACAAAGUUAGCUUUUUGAACAAUCAAGAUGAAAUCUAUUAUAUGUUUAUUAUGGUCAACGCGUCGUUUCUCGAGCGGCUGACGGUGGACCACGAGGGAUAUAUCCAGCGGAACAUGUGGCAGGAAACGGAAGGCAAAUGGUUCAGCUUCUACACAGCCCCAAGGGACAGGUGCGACAGGUACGGCCGGUGCGGACCCAACAGCAACUGUGACAACAGCCAGGCCGAGUUUGAGUGCACGUGCCUGGCGGGAUUCGAGCCCAAGUCGCCACGUGACUUGUUCUUGAAAGACGGCUCAGCGGGAUGUCUGAGGAAGGAAGGAGCGAAGGUGUGCGGGAACGGGGAAGGGUUUGUGAAGGUGGGAGGUGCGAAGCCCCCAGAUACAUCGGUGGCACGUGUGAACAUGAACAUCAGCAUGGAAGCGUGUAGAGAGGAGUGCCUGAAGGAGUGUUCUUGCAGUGGAUACGCGGCUGCAAAUGUGAGUGGAAGUGGGAGUGGGUGCUUGUCUUGGCAUGGGGAUUUGGUGGAUACAAGAGUGUUUCCUGAAGGGGGCCAAAAUUUAUAUGUGCGUGUGGAUGCCAUCACUCUAGGUAUGCUAGCAUUUAAUUGUCAGGAUUCAUGAAUGAUUUCUCUCCCAGAUUUACGAGAUCAUUUAUGAUGUUUUUUUUCGUGUAUUUUUUUAGCUGAAAAUCAAAAGCAGUCAAAAGGUUUCCUUGCGAAGAAGGGGAUGAUGGCAGUUUUGGUGGUGGGGGCUACUGUGAUUAUGGUUCUGUUGGUCUCCACAUUUUGGUUCUUAAGGAAGAAGAUGAAAGGUAAUCAAACAAAAAUUCUUAUGGCUCAUUUAAGCCUUCUAUCCAAUGUUUGUGUCUUGGGCAUGGAUUAACAUGAAGAGAUUAAUAAGAAAAGCCAAACAUUUCUAAGCUCAGUUACCCAGUGAAUUAAUCUGGGAUAGAGUCUUUUUUCCUUGCUUUCAUGGUAUUAAGGAAUUGUAUUAUUUCUUCUUUUUUUUCCCAUUUAUUUUCCCCCACAAUCAAAAAAGCAUUAUUUAUUGUUAUACUUCCAUGACAGGGAGAGGAAGACAAAACAAAAUGUUGUAUAAUUCGAGACCUGGCGCUACAUGGUUGCAAGACUCUCCAGGAGCUAAGGAGCAUGAUGAAAGUACAACCAAUUCUGAAUUACAAUUCUUUGAUCUGAACACCAUAGUUGCAGCCACAAAUAAUUUCUCUUCUGAGAACGAACUUGGACGUGGUGGUUUUGGCUCAGUUUUUAAGGUAGUCAGUCAUUCUCAAAUUUGUGAUGACUAUUGAAAUUGUUGGACUUUCUUUCAUUGCACAAACAUUACGCUAAGCUGAAUUUUUCUAACUGUGAAUAAGUUAAUUCUACAUGACGAUUAUCAGGGUCAGCUAUCUAAUGGACAAGAAAUAGCUGUGAAAAAAUUAUCAAAGGAUUCGGGACAAGGAAAAGAAGAAUUUAAGAAUGAAGCGACACUUAUUGCAAAACUCCAACACGUGAAUCUUGUGAGGCUUGUGGGUUGUUGCAUUACAGAAGAAGAGAAUAUGUUAGUCUAUGAGUACUUGUCAAACAAAAGUUUAGACUCUUUCAUUUUUGGUAUGUAGCAUUUAUUUUUGCCAUUUCCAUUUCUUUAAUCUUCUAAGGUUCUUGCAUAAUCACUUGGAGAAGUUAUUUGCCUAAUAAAAAUCAUUAUUGGUAUAUCCUAAUAUUGUUUUAAUGAUUGAUAUUUUAUAUAUCUUUCGGCCAGAUGAAACAAAGAAGUCAUUGUUAGAUUGGAGGAAACGCUUUGAAAUUAUUGUCGGAAUUGCUCGAGGUAUCUUAUAUCUUCAUGAGGACUCUAGAUUAAGAAUCAUACAUAGAGAUCUAAAAGCAAGCAAUGUUCUACUCGAUGCCGAAAUGUUUCCAAAAAUUUCAGAUUUUGGCUUGGCUAGAAUAUUUCGAGGAAAUCAAAUGGAAGGAAACACAAAUCGAGUAGUUGGAACAUAGUAAGUGUUAUGUUUGAGAUGCCAAAGAAACAUAUUAGUUAAUAUGUUUUAAUAGUUUCUUUUAUUUGCUAUUGCAGUGGUUACAUGUCACCUGAGUAUGCGAUGGAAGGGUUAUUUUCAACAAAAUCCGAUGUCUAUAGCUUCGGAGUUUUGUUGUUAGAGAUUAUUACUGGGAGAAAAAAUAGCACCUAUUAUCGGGACGGUCCAUCCAUAAGCUUAGUUGGAAAUGUAAGUGAGUUGCAUGUGUUGCAUUACUUUUUUUUUUUUUUUUUCAUUCUUUACAGUAAGCUAAUAAUGGUAAAAUUAUCAGGUUUGGAACCUAUGGGAAGAAGGCAAAGCCUUAGAUAUAAUCGAUCUGUCACUACAAAAGUCAUACCCUACAGAUGAAGUAUUGAGAUGCAUCCAAAUUGGGCUCUUAUGUGUCCAAGAAUCUGUAACGGAUCGACCUACCAUGUUGACUAUUAUUUUCAUGUUGGGUAAUAACUCUGCUCUUCCUUUUCCUAAACGACCUGCAUUUAUUUCAAAAACAACUCACAAGGGUGAAGAUCUAUCAUCCUCUGGUGAGGGACUUUUAUCUGUAAAUAAUGUGACUGUGACUGUGCUUCAACCUCGCUAAAUGCUUACACUCUCACAUGUUGUAUGUUUAUCCUCCAUGACAAUGAACACUACAAGAAAAAAGCCUUUCGUUGACAGUUUUUCACCAUCAUGGUAGGGUAUAUCUGUCAAGGUAUAUUACUAUUUAUAUAUGUCAUCUAUGCCAGUGUCAAGAAAAGUUUAAAGUUAUCUUGACAUUUACAUAUGUUAAGGUUGUUUCUAUUUUUACCAAUGAUGGAAUCUUUGUUAGUAUGACAUAUGUCAAUUUUCUUUCACUUUUGUCAAGGUUGGAUUCAACAUAUGUCAAGAUUUCUUGAUCUUAUGUUAAGGUUAACUUGCUCUUCUAUUAAGGUUGCUACAACAAAUGUCAAGGAUAAGUAUAAUAUGUCAAGGUUUCUAGCUAUUGCAAUGUCAAUGUUGGGCAUUGGCCAUCUGUCAAGGUUGCUUAUGACAAAUUUAAUAUUAUUUUACUAUAAUUUUUAGUUUUAAUGGAAAAUGAACCUAUUACCAUAUGAAACUUGUUUCCAAAUUAAAUUUGAUACAUAUUUAAUUAUGAUAAUAAUAACUAAGUCCUAAAACAAUGUAAAUAAAUCAUUACUCAAGGGGAAAAAUCUUUUUCUACUUACUCUCUAUUUUUCUAUAUGCUAAAAAAAACUAAUUGCAAACAUUCAAUUAAGAUAAUAUACAAACUUAAAUUGGAAAGUACAAUACUAUCUUCAUAAGAGGUGGUCACUAAUUCUUCAUCAUCUUCUUCUUUUUGCUAUAUUUCUUGAAUACCUAGUAGGAUAGACACGACAUUAAUAGAAAAGUUAGUAACAAGUAUCCAAAUAGCAAUUUUCAAAUUAUAAGGUACUUUCAAUUGCAAGAAUACAUUAAACAUAUAUGCAAUUUGUAGAUACCAUAUCUCUAGCAUUAAUAUUCAAGCCCGACCCUCUAGAAAGACCCCAAAAUUGUCAACACCUCUAUCUCAAACCUAUGAUAGAAAAAACAAACGAUGUUAACAAAAAGAAAAGCUCAAAUUGUGAAAUUAGAUGUCUAACUACAAUGAAAUAUUUUUAAGAUUGAAUUCUAAGUUUAAUUAUUGUGUUUUUAUAUUAUGGACCUAAAUAACUAUAAUAGUAUACUUCUUUUUAAUUUCUAAAAGGAAUGCAAAAAGGAAAAGAGAAAACAAAAGUUUCAAAUAUAUCUUUCAUGUUAUUUUGGCUUCCAAAUAGAUAAAAACUCAAAUUAUCCAAGAAAUCGUUAAAAUUAAAAUUGAGCAUAAAUUUUAAUCAUCUCAAUCAUAAAUAAUGAAAUAUCUAAAUUCAAUUUCAUAGAAACCACACUAACUAUUAAUUUCAUGCACCAAAUGCAUCUAAUCUUAACAAAAUAAAAAAUCAAGGAUAUUCUCCUUCAAUUCUAAUAGGAUAAUAGAUCUUAUGUGUGCAAAUUUUGUCUUUAUUUCAAGAAUUAAUAAAUGCACAAGCUAUCUAGUUGAGAGCUUAAAUCUGUAAAUUUUUAAAAGAAAUAAAUUAAGUAAAUAAACAAAAAAGGUCUAAGAAAUGGAAAAUCUCCAAAAUUAAAGAGAAAAUCAAGCACAUUUCAUAAAUGGGAAAGAGUUAUGCAAUAUGCUGCUAUUUUUUUCUAACUAAUGUGAAAUUGAAAACAAAUUUGACACAAAGUUGUGUGAGAAUACAUCUAUAAGGUUCAUAGAAAUAAUGUGCAGAUUGCCAUUUAAAGCUAUGUAAACUAAGAAUGACAAAUAGCAAAUUAUAUUAUUUAUAUCUAUCAUACCUUGUUAAAAUACCAUGUCAAAUAUUCCAUAGAUAGACAACUAGGCAUGAGUAUGAAAAUGUUGUCUAGAUGUUUUUCUCAUAGGCAGCUAAUGCAUGAGUUCAUCGAAUUCAAAACUUAACAACAAUUAAAGCUGACAAAGCACCCAAUUAUCAAUUAUUAAAGAACUCUUAAUGGGAGCAAAAACUAAAACUAAUAAAGCAACUAAUAACAAAAUAUAAGAGUUGCAUUGGUACCCAAUAUAAUGUUCUUCCUAAUGUAAUUGUGCUCAUUAAAACAAAAAACUUCACGGCAUAAAUUAAUUGAAGACCCCGUACAAGCAACAAGAAAAUACUUCAUACCAUUAUAGUGGUAAUUAAGGAUUAUAGAAACAAUUUUAGUUGGCUUGUGACUAUGAAUCGAAGAAUUAAAAUUUUGUGAGGGUUGAUUUAUUGCUUAUCAAUAAGAUAGCAUAUCAAUAUUUAACAAAAGAAAGAGUUUCAAGCAAUCAUGAAUCAUAACAUUAAAAUUUAGCCCUAAAAAGAGGGGAAAAAACAAAGAGAAAGAACCAAACCAAAGGAGCCCAACUAAAAAUUCAAGUGCAUAAAUAAGUAAAAUUAAAUAGUUAACCAUAUUAAAGAGAAAACCAUGUCCCAUUAUGCAAAUUGUUUUUGUGUGCCCAAAUAUAUAGUUCUAUUUCUUCAAAUUGCAUUAAAAGUCCAAUGGUAUCUGUAAAGGAAAUAGUAGAGAUAAAAUUUAAACGUAAUCUACUCAUAAUUAUUUCAAUUAACACAUCCAAAUAUUAUGGAUCAACAGAGAAAUCAAUUUAAAGAAAACAAAACAUCAGUCUUUACUAGCAUAAAACGAAAACAAAAGUUUAAAAAAAAAAAAAAUUCAUUAGAUAUCAGAUUAUUUUUGGGGCAACAAAAUUAAGACACAUAAUUGCAUUAACCAUUGAUGCCUAUAAACUCAAUUCGAAACAUAAAAAUGAAAUUGAACAUGAAUUUCAAGCUUCAAAAUUGCGAACCAAAAAAACACUUACAAAAUGUUAGAAAAGAAUGGGAAGAAAAUUUCUAAAAUAGGAUAUUCUAAGAUGCCUUUUUUUAGUUAUCUUUCUUAGUUUUUCUAUAAUCAAAGAGAGUAAAAAAGGAAAAGAAAAGGUGAAGAUGGAAGAGAAUCAGAUAAUAGAGUACAAUUCACCAAUUAUCUUAAUUGCAAUAAUUUUCAAGAUUACCCUUAAGCCAUAUUUGACUCUUUUUUUUUUUCAAACUUUCCUCGCGUUUUAAAAUGAACUUCUUUACAAAUGGAAAAUCCCAUAACUUAACAUAAUAAAUGAUAUCUGUUAGCCCAAGGGUUCUCCUAAUCGGAUUUUGAUGAUAAGAAACCAUGGUUAAGUGACUAAUUGGUUUAAUAGUUAAGAAUCUUAGGCAUAAACUCGAAUAUUCAUCAAAUGACCAAAUGGAUACAACAUCGAGAAUUUUGGAAGACUUGUGAUCAUAGGAAAUGAAUGCAAGAUGAAUGCAUGAGUGCACUUAGGAUUUUCAUACCGUUUCAUGCAACUUAAAAUACUCGGUUUAUUCUUUAAAACUUCAAUUUCAUUAUAACCCGAGUUUUAACAAAUGUAUCUUAGGCAAAAUGUUUUAAAAUUGGCAUAAUAAUUCACUUAAAGACCUUGCCUAAGUGUUAGAAAAGAAAGGAAUUGAAAAAGAUAGGUUUUCGAGGCCAAAAGGCUCAACCGGUCGAGGCUUUGGCCAACCAGCUCAAUCGGUUGGGGAACUAGUCGACCGGUUGCCCUUGUCUGGUCGAGGUCUAGUCGAGAGAUGUCCCAAAUCUUCUCUCUCCUAGUAGCUUUCUCUUCCCGAUCGAGGUUCAUCUCUUCUCGGUUGAUGUUCGAUCGAGGCAACGGUAACCCGUCAAGCAUUAAAUGCUCCAACGGCUAGUGAACCGGUUGACCCCUAGCUCGACCGGUCGAGGUUACCUUUUAUUGUUUUUGGUUCUCGAGCUUAGAAACCUAUAAAUUGAGAGCUCCACUUCAUUUAUUGUAGAAAGAACACUUGCAAUCAAUUGUCUACCUACCUGUUCUUGACCAAAAAGCUCUCAUUUCUUUCUUAAUGCAUUAAAUCAUCACUUGCAUAUCCUUUAAUGCACUCUUGUGUGUCAUCCUAGCUUUGUCUUGUAUUUUGAGCUAUCCUUAAGCUAGGUUGAGGGAUUCAUUCUUGUAAAAGUUGAGUGUUAAAGCCUUUAAGAGGUUUGAAUCUUGAAGAGAUUGUGUAAGAGCCCAUUGGAGCCGGAAUCCAAGUGUAAGAAGAUUGGAAGCUUGGUUGAAGCUUCAAGUUAGUGGAACUCUCACUCGGUUAGGAGAUUGAGGAGAGUGGACGUAGGCAAGGAAGUGUCAAACCACUAUAAAACCCAAGUUUGAAUUCUCUAACUCUACAUCUUUAUUUUUGUUUAUAUUGUGCUUGAACUUGUUGUGUUUGAAAAGAUUUUAAAAAACCCAAUUCACAUCCCCCCUUUUUAAGUGUUUUUCUUAAUUAAGCAUAGCCUUCAUUUUCUCAAUAUCAAAAUAGAGAAGUUUGAACAUAAGUCAAUAGCAUGAGUAUAUUAUUUGGAUUCAUAGAGAUAGAAAGAAACCAAACUCUGUUAUUAUGUUGAAAAACCAAUUUUCCUAAAAGUUUAAACUUAUAGGAUUUGAGGUCAAUGUGUUUUAUGUCUAUUAACACUCAACACAUAUUUCAAUAAAAAAUUUCAUGAACUCCUCAAACAUUUAUACUACAUAUAACUUAGGGCACCAAAGAAUAUGAGUAAAAGGAGUAUAUGCUAGAAGUCAUUAUUUCUAAUGUUUAGUGGAUUUAAUAUUUAUAUUAUUAAAAAUUAAUAUUUAUGUAAGUAAAAAAUAUCUCAACAUAAAAUUAAAAAUUUUGAAUUAUUUCUAAAGAAAUGAAUUAAAUUUAGAAUUUUUAAAUUUUAGUUUUUAUUAUCUGAUUUACUAUUAAAUGCUCAUUGUUUUGGUUUUCUUUAUUUUUUCAAUGGUCUUUUUCCACGAAUUAUUUCAUAUGUCUAUAGUUUUUUCGAUCUUUGACACGUGGAUUAUCUUGGAAAAUGUUCUUAAUAACAAAGAAAUAUUCCUUCUCGUGAUGAGUAUGAACUAGAAUUCUCAUUUUUUAGCGAAUAAAACUCCCCAAUUUGGUGAGGAAAUGAGAUAGUCACUUUUUUUUUUUGUUACUCGCAUUAUGUACUCAAAGUAUUUAUCCAAAUAUCCGAUACACUUACGAAACCACACUUUUCCAUUUCCAUAAUGUAACAUACGUGACGAUAGGCUUGCACACUUGAAAAACAAUAUUGACAUUUAACAUCGAAGGAUUUAAUUAUGGUCUUGUGUUUUUUGGAGGUCCUAAAAAUAGGUGAAAACUUAAAAUAAGAUUGACUUGACCAACUCAACAUGUGAUUACGUUGUAUACGUCGAUGUGGUCAAUAGAAUUUAUUUCCCUUAACUUGGCAUCGAGUACGCUAGUGCCAGCCUUAUCUUCCCAUGGGAACUUGAACAAUUUGAGCAAUUGGCCAUUGCCAACCACAUUUUUAAGUAAUGUCUUCUUUCACCCUUCAAAUAUCUUAAAUCAAUUCAGUUUUAUGUAGAUAUCAUUUUCACUUUUAAACCUUACUUAUUAUCAUUAAGCUUUGUAACGUAGCCGCCACUCGCAAGUUGCAUCAAAAUUGAAGUUUAACCGUUGGGUAGGCACAAUUUUGAAGUGAUCAAGUUAUGAUACGUUUAAUACAACUGCAACUUGGUCCCAUUCAUAAAUGUGGUGUGGAGAUAGUACCAUAGUUUUAAAAGGUGCAAGGCACACCUAAGGCACAAAAGUAUCCUAUAGCUUAGGCACAAGGCACAACACAAAGCACGCACAUGAGUGAAGUGAAACCUAACCUAGUAUGCAUAUCAAUUUUAUAAAAUAUGAUACAAAACUCAAUCCACUCAAUAAAAAAUUUAUUAUUUUAAAAGAAGCAUUCAAAAAAAAGUAAUAAAAUUAUGUAGAUUUUAAUAUACAAUUAGAAAUUUCAAGAAUAAAAGUGUUUAAAAAUGAAAAGUAAAAUAGACAAGGCACGCCGCUUCAACAAGGCACAUGUCUUGGCAAGCAAUGUGCUAUAGCUAGGGAGUGGUUGUGCUUUGAGCCUAAGCGUGCUUUAAGCAAGCCUUUUAAAACUAUGGUUUGGUAACCGUUUUAAAAAACAAUCCUGAAAAAUAGUUUUUGAGAACAGUUUUUGAAAACUAUUCUCUGAUUCUUGUAGAAUAAAAGUAUAUUUGGAAACCUAAAAUGUUUUUAUCUUGUUUUUAAUAUUUUUAAAUAUGUUUUAAAAAUAAUUUUUAUAUCUAGUAUUUUAUUUUUAAUCAUUUUAUAUGUUUGUAUAAUUAUUUCUUAAAACAAUUAUCAGAAAACAAGUGAAAAAGUCAUAAAAUAAUUUUUAGUUGUCAAACACCUUUUCUAUGUUUUUUGUUCUAGAAAACAAAAAACUAUUUUCAAAACCAGUUCCCAAACAUGCCUUUAAUAUGGGGUUGAAUGUAUUUUUUUUUUUUUCUUGCUUUCAAGGUAUUAAGGAAUUAUAUUCUUAAUUUUUUUCCCAUCUAUUUUCCCCACAAUCAAAGAAGCAUUAUUUAUUGUUAUACUUCCAUGACAAGGAAAGGAAGACAAAACAAAAUGUUGUAUAAUCUGAGACUUGGUGCUACAUGGCUGCAAGACUCUCUAGGAGCUAAGGAGCAUGAAGAAAGUACAACCAAUUCUGAAUUACAAUUCUUUGAUAUGAAGACCAUAGUUGCAGCCACAAAUAAUUUCUCUUCUAAGAACGAACUUGGAUGUGGGGUUUUGGCUCAAUUUAUAAGGUAGUUAGCCAUUCUCAAAUUUGUGAUGAAUAUUGAAAUUGUUGGACUUUCUUUCAUUGCUCAAGUAUCACACUAAGCUGAAUUUUCCAUAAAAUAAUUCUACAUGAUGAUUAUCAGGGUCAACUAUCUAAUGGACAAGAAAUAACUAUGAAAAGAUUAUCAAAGGAUUUGGGACAAGGAAAAAAAGAAUUUAAGAAUGAAGUAACACUUAUUGCUAAACUCCAACACAUAAAUGUUGUGAGGCUUUUGGGUUGUUGCAUUCAAGGAAAAGAGAAGAUGUUCGUUUAUGAGUCCUUGCCAAACAAAAGUUUGAACUUUUUCAUUUUUAGUAUGUACCAUUUCUUUUCUAUCAUUUCCAUUUCUUUAAUCUUCUAAGGUUCUUGCAUAAUCACUUGGAGAAGUUAUUUGCCUAAUAAAAAUCAUUAUUAGUAUAUCCUAACAUUGUUUUAUUGAUUGACAUUUUAUAUAUUUUUGGGCUAGAUGAAAAAAAAAAGUCAGUGUUAGAUUGGAGAAAACGCUUUGAAAUUAUUAUGGGAAUUGCUCAAGGAAUCUUAUAUCUUUAUGAGGACUCUAGAUUAAGAGUCAUACAUAGAGAUCUAAAAGCAAGCAAUGUUCUACUAGAUGUUGAAAUGCUUCCAUAAUUUUCAGAUUUUGGCAUGGCUAGAAUAUUUGGAGGAAAACAAAUGGAAGGAAACACAAAUCGAGUAGUUGGAACAUAGUAAGUGUCAUGUUUGAUAUGCCAAAGAAACAUAAUAGUUAAUAUGUUUUAAUAGUUUCUUUAUUUUCUAUUACAGUGGUUACAUAUCACCUGAGUAUACGAUGGAAGGGUUAUUUUCAACAAAAUCUAAUGUCUAUAACUUUGGAGUUUUGUUGUUAGAGAUUGUUACUAGAAGAAAAAAUAGCACUUAUUAUCAUGACAAUCCAUUAACUUAGUUGGAAAUGUGAAUGAAUUGAAUGUGUGUUGCAUUACUUUUUUCUUUUCAUUCUUUAUAGUAAGUUAAUAAUGAUAAAAUUCAUAGUUUUGGAUCCUAUGGGAAGAAGACAAAGCCUUGGAUAUAAUCGAUCUGUCACUUGAGAAGUCAUACCCUGUAGAUGAAGUAUUGAGAUGCAUCCAAAUUGGGCUCUUAUGUGUGCAAAAAUCUACAACAGAUCGACCUACCAUGUUGACAAUUAUUUUCAUGUUUGGUAACAACUCUUCUCUUCAUUUUCCUAAACGGAUUGCAUUUAUGUCAAAAACAACUCAUAGGGGGCAAGACCUAUCAUCUUAUGGUGAAGGAAUUUUCUCUAUAAAUGAUGUGACCAUGACUUUGCUUCAACCUCGCUAAAUGCUUACACUCUCACAUGUUGUAAGUUUAUCCUCCAAGACAAUGAAUUGUAUACACUAUGACAAAGAGAACACCUUUUGAUUUAGUGAUCAUAGUUAGAUAAUUAUCAACUCUGUAAGUGUAUGCUCAAAGAUAGGGCAAGAAUGGAAGCUUGUAGGUAUAGUCAAAUAAUCGAUUAAGUAUGAUUAGCUCUCAACAUUAAGGCCCUAAAAUCAUAUAAUUAAAAUGGUUCAAAUGGAGCUAAUAGUUCAAAUAGUUCCAUAUGGGUAAUGGAAGAGCUUAGAAUGAAGCAAUGCGUUGGUUCUUAUGCUAUGCCUAAUGAUGGAAAGACUGAAUGUUCAAUUGGUAAAUCUUCAAAUUUUGAAAAUAAUUGGAGACUAUCACGAGGCAUUUAUCAUAUUUUCCUUUUGCUAGGAUGAUCAAAUCUACUUUCUCUUUUAAAUUCAAGGCAUACUCGUGGUUCCUAAAAUGAAUUACUAGGGCUAUUCACUUUUCUUAUCAAGUAGUGAGUGACAAUUGGAAAAUAUGCCCAUUUGAAUUUUGGAUCGUUGGUUGCCUUUACCAUAAGGCAUCUUAGUGUUGUAUUGAUUCCUGAAAUAGUCAAUAAAUGAAAAGAAGUUUUUCUAUUUUGGGCAUGGCACAUGAUAUCAAAUUUGGCAGUAGAUGGAUGUUUAGUAUAUGAGCAUCUUUAUUGCAAAUAAUUUUACAAAUUUUCAGUACAUUCUUCAUCAGAUUUCUACUUUUGAUCUAUCAAAUACUGUAGAUGCUCGAACAUGGGUGUCGACUACAAGGUAUGACUUCAGAUCCAAGACAUCUGAAAUUCAAAGUUAAGAAUUGAUUACGUGAAUCAAGGGGGAAAAUAUCAUUAGGAAAUGAAUUUUUUUUUUAGAAAUGAUAAUUACGAAGACUUUAGAGAGCGAAAAGUUGAUUGACCUUGGGUAUAGUUGGACAAUCCAAUUGAUUAUACUAUCAUCGAGUUAGGUUGGGAGAGUGAGAGCCAACAUAUUCAUAACUUUAAGAUGAAAAUUGGUUUAGUUUAAGGACCUCAGGGCAUCCCUAAUUUGGUUGGUUUUUAGUACUGACUAAUGGUAAGAUUUUCUUUUCUUUUUUCUUUACUUUUUUUCCAAUCUCAUUGACAAAUGAGUGACAAUGAGUGUUAAAAGAAUAAUUAAAGAGACAACAUUACUUCGAGGCGGGGCACAAGGGAAGAAAGACAACAAAAAGUGUUAUAAUUUGAGUUUUAUUGCUACAUGCCUCAAAGAAUUAGUCCCCAAGAACAAACGAGUGAAGUGUAAAUAGUGUAAAUUCUAAAUUAUCAAGGAAUUCAAGAUAAGGAGUAGAAGAAUAUAAGAAAACAUGAAUAUAAGGAUCCUGUGAAGUUCUUAGGUUGUUGCAUAUAAGGAGAAGAUAAAGAUGUUAGUCUAAGAAUACUUAUUGAACAAUAGUUUGAACUCUUUUAUUUUCAUCCUAUCUUUUUUUAAAAAAAAAAAAAAAAAUUUGACAAUUUCUAAAUCUCUUCAUCUCUUUUGCUUGUGAUCUCACUGUUAUCACAUGGAAAAUUUGUUUUACAUUAAAACUAUAUAAUAGUAUUUUAAUAUGGUGUCAGAGUCUCAUUUGGUGUGAGAUCAUGUAUUCAAAUCUCAUUGUAUAUUUAUUUUCCAAUUUGUAGUUGUUUCCCUGUUGGGGGUCACACGCGAGGAAGGGUAUUAAAAACCAUAAUAUAGCUUACGAACUCAAAUCUUAUAAGUAGAAGCUUUUAGAAAAAAAUAUAAUUUGUUUAAACCUUUAGAAAACCUGUAGUUUAACAUGUAAACUUUCAUAUUUUUUGUUUUGAUGAGACAAAAAUGUCAAAUUUAGAUUGGAUAAAAAAUUUCAAAAUUAUUGUUGAAAUUUCUUAAGGACUUUUAAGUUAUGUUUGGUUUCUUGAAAAUAAUAUGAAACAAAAUUAUAAGAAAAUGAUUCCCUCUUGUUUAACUUAUUAUAGAAAAUAUUAUAAAAUUUUAAAUAUAAUUCAAAUGAGUAAUAAAUUAACGUAUUUUUAAAUUAUUUAAUCUUUAUAUAGAAGAGAAAAAACUAUUUUUUAUUUUUUUUCACUUUUUGUUUAGUGUUUUCUAUCCCUUACAUUUUUCGUCAAAUCUUCCAAUAACCAAAUAUAGGGUUAUAUCUUCAUCAAGACUUAAACCAUACAUAGCGAUAUAAAAGCAAGCAAUUAAUAUUCUACUAUAUACUGAAAUGAUUCCAAAAAUUUCAGAUAGAUUUUGGUAUGGCUAAAAGAUUUGGAGGGAACCAAAUAGAAGGAAACACAAAUCUGGUGAGGUUGGAACAUGGUUAGUGUCAUGCACCAAAUGUCAAAACACAACAUUGAACAAAUCUUUCCAGUUUGUUUUAUUUGUCACUGCAGCAGCUAUAUAUAACUUUUGUGUCAUCUGAGUAAGUAAUGGAAGGGUUAUUUUCAAUAAAAUAUGAAGUUUAUAGCUUUGGAGGUUUUCCUAUUAGAAAUUAUUUUGGGAGAAAAAACAAUUAAUGCUCACUACCAUGAUAAUCCCUCCUUGAACUUGGCUGGACAUGUGAGUUAACUGAAUUUCUUAUAGCUUACUUCUUCUUCACUGUAAGCUGAUGCUAUAAAAAAAUAAAUUCAGGUUUGUAACUUAUGUAGAGAAGGCAAAGCUUUGGAUAUGAUUGAUCCUUUAUUAGAAAAGUCAGAUCCUGCAGAUGGAUGAAGUGCCGACAUGCAUCCAAAUUGGGCUCUUAUCUGUGCAAGAAUGCCAACUACCUACCAUGUUCUUCGGUAACAACCCUAAUCUUCCUUCUCCUAAGCCACCUGCAUUUAUUUUGAAAAUUAGCAUGUAAUAAUGGUGAGUUCCCAUCAACAUCAAGUGUAGGAAGCUUGUUUUGAAGCUUGCUGAUUGCUCAAGCUCUGAUAAGUUGUAAAAAUUAAUUAUUUUGCCUACCAGAGGUAGCGUACGCAAAUAUCAUUAAAGUUCUCUCUCUCUCUUUUCUGGUUUUUGUCCAAAGGCAGCAAUAACGUAAAAUAUUGAGAAGAACCACACAGUCUAACAUCAGCUUCCUCCAUGUCAAGAAUGAGAUACAAAGGUUGUAGUGUAAAAAGUUUAAAAUACUGUCCCCUGGAAUGAUCUCAACUUCUUGAUGAUUUGUUUCUGCAGCAUCUGCUAAUGGUUCUUGACCUGUUUCUUUCAGCCCAUAGCUGCUCCAUCCUUGGCCCAAUCUUUUUCUAUUUAUUAUUGCGAAUUAAACGAACCCAUUCCUAUCUGAUCAUGAACUGAUCUCUUGGCACAAGGCCUAGAUAAGACAGCCUGUUCUUGUACUUCUUUUAAUGUUGCUACUACUUAACUAACAGUUCCAAGGUAGCUGAUGCUGAGGGAUAUUUCACAAUAUUCACCAUAUUUUAGGUACCAUUUUAAAUUAGUAUAAUAUAUAAAAUAAAAAAGAAAAUAAAGAUAUUUUAUCCUAGGUUUGUUUAUAUAUAUAUUAACUUUUUUUAUUACUUAUUUUGAAAAAUAAAAUUUUUUAUUUAUAAAUUUUAAAUAUUUUAAAUCAUGAGUAUUAUUAAUAAAUAAAUAAAUAAUUAUUUACUAAAUAUCAAAUUAUUGAAAAUAUAUCAUUAAAUGUAAGAGAAAAUUUAUAUUUUUUAAUAGCACAUAUAGAAAUAUAAUAUAAUUUUAUUUUAAACAAAUAUUGGAAAUUUGAGAAAUAAUAUUCAUAAGCUUGCAAACUUGAAAAGCCAUAUUGACAUUUAACAAUGAAGGAUUUAAUUGUGGUCUUGAUUUUUUGACGUCCUAAAAACAGGUGAAAACGUAAAAUAACAUUGACUUGACCAACUCCAUGGGUGAUUACGUCGUAUACGUCGAUAUAAGUUUCAAUGUGGUCAAUAGAAUCCAUAAGCAUUAAUCAAUAAUUAAGUGGGUCCUUUUUUCCCUUGACUUGGCAUCGAGUAGGCUAGCACCAGCCUCAUCUUCGCAUGGGAGACGGCAAAUGCACCAAAUAUAGCAGGAACAAUUUGAGCAAUUGGCCAUUGCCAAACACCUCUUUAAGUAAUGCUUUCAUCCUCCCUUCAAAUAUCUUAAAUCGAUUCAAUUUUAGGUAGAUAUCAUUGUCACUUUUGACCCUUACUUUUUAUCAUUAAGCUCCGUCAUGUAGUCGCCGCUCGCCAGUUCAAUUCAUGCAUCAAAAUUGAAGUUUAACAGUUGGGUUGGUGCAAUUUUGAAGUGAUCAAUGCUAUGAUAGGUUUAAUGCAACUGCAACUUUGUCCAAUUCAUAAAUGUGGCGUGGAGAUAGUACAAAUGCAACUCUGUCUAAAGCUUUUGUCAUUUGCUCCACUCGUUCCUUCAUGGUAUGCCUCGUUAGUUUUUGUGUUGUAGACUUGCUCUGUCUCUUCCACCAGCGCUCAGCAUCGGUAACACGGAAGUCACCACUUUAUCAUGAAGUCACAUAUGCAUCCUGUAAAGAUGUUUCUUCAGUACUUGCUUCUAUUCCUUAUGCUCCCACUUUGCAGCUCCACUAACACCAUAACUCCUAACCAGCCCUUCAGAGAUGGUGACCUUCUAGUCUCUAAAGAGUCCAGGUUUGCUCUUGGCUUCUUCAGUCCACGGAAUUCUACACUCCGAUAUAUUGGAGUUUGGUACAACACAAUUCGUGAACAAACCGUUGUAUGGGUUCUUAAUAGAGACCAUCCUAUCAAUGAUACCUCCGGAGUCCUCUCCAUCAACACUUCUGAACACCUCCUUUUGCACCGCGGAAACACUCAUGUAUGGUCCACAGACGUUUCCAUCUCAUCAGUGAACCCUACUAUGGCUCAGCUG